rnacentral:rRNA from 1 species
ACAGUUUAUGCCGCAUGGCAUAAGAGUGAAAGGCGCUUUCGGGUGUCGCUGAUGGAUGGACCCGCGGUGCAUUAGCUAGUUGGUGAGGUAACGGCUCACCAAGGCCACGAUGCAUAGCCGACCUGAGAGGGUGAUCGGCCACACUGGGACUGAGACACGGCCCAGACUCCUACGGGAGGCAGCAGUAGGGAAUCUUCGGCAAUGGACGAAAGUCUGACCGAGCAACGCCGCGUGAGUGAAGAAGGUUUUCGGAUCGUAAAACUCUGUUGUUAGAGAAGAACAAGGACGUUAGUAACUGAACGUCCCCUGACGGUAUCUAACCAGAAAGCCACGGCUAACUACGUGCCAGCAGCCGCGGUAAUACGUAGGUGGCAAGCGUUGUCCGGAUUUAUUGGGCGUAAAGCGAGCGCAGGCGGUUUCUUAAGUCUGAUGUGAAAGCCCCCGGCUCAACCGGGGAGGGUCAUUGGAAACUGGGAGACUUGAGUGCAGAAGAGGAGAGUGGAACUCCAUGUGUA